rnacentral:rRNA from 1 species
CACGUAGGAGGCGAGCGUUGUCCGGAAUCAUUGGGCGUAAAGAGCGCGCAGGCGGCUUGGCAAGUCGGGUGUGAAAUCCCCGGGGCUCAACCCCGUGACUGCAUCCGAUACUGUCAGGCUAGAGGUAGGUAGGGGAGAUCGGAAUUCCUGGUGUAGCGGUGAAAUGCGCAGAUAUCAGGAGGAGCACCAGCGGCGAAGGCGGCGCUCUGGCCGGAACUGACGCUGAGGAGCGAAAGCGUGGGGAGCAAACAGG